AAAAAUAUGACUAGAAUUGCUCAAGAAUUACAAGAACGAGAAGUUACUGAUAAUCAAAGUGGGUUCUUAGCAUGGCUCACAGGAUGGCAACAAAUGCUUGUAUCUGCUUUGAUUCCUAUAGGUGUGAUCCUAUUAAUUAUGGCAUUUAUUAUCUGUUGUAUUAUUCCAUUUAUUAGAGCUUUGAUUAAUCGUGCCAUGAACAACUUUGUAUCCUCUCAAUAUGCUUUGAUGAAUAUGUAACGGAGUUUAAAAAUAAUGUUAGUUAAAUUCAGCAUAAAUUGGGAAACUCGCCAUUGGCUGUGACGUCACUUGCGUUAGUGCACAUGAUAUUGCGGGGCGGAGCUCUAUAAUCAGAAUCUCAUAGCUCGUCCUGCUGACGUUGUAUGCGACAUCGAUGUGCUAUAUGCUGUAUGCUGAUAAGCCAUUUGGUCCUGUUUUCCCAGGUAUGUGUUUUAUUCGAGUUAUUGUCAUGUUCUAUGUUAAAACAUUAGCCUCAGCUGAAUGUUAGCUUUUAGCACAUGUGCUGUAUCGUCUCGCACGUGCUCUCUGCUGUGUAACUGCGCCAUCUAAGGGCUGCGUUAUUCUCUCUCCAUUUCAUUUAUAUAAAAUAUGUAAAAUGAUGGUUACUUGAGUUUAUAUUUUCACUGUAUUAAUGUUAAUUGUCUGUAUUAGUGUUUUAUAUUUUAUUUUUAUGGAUGUAUGCUUUAUUUAGAAUUUUUCCACUAUAUGUUCACGCUCAAUUUGAGAAAAUGUAUAUAAUCAGAAUCUCAUAGCUCGUCCUGCUGACGUUGUAUGCGACAUCGAUGUGCUAUAUGCUGUAUGCUGAUAAGCCAUUUGGUCCUGUUUUCCCAGUCGUCUUGUCACAGAUACAGUAAAGCAACCCUGAGUGACCAUC